AGAAUCAACGCUGGCGGCGUGCCUAACACAUGCAAGUCGAACGAGAAAGUGGAGCAAUCCAUGAGUAAAGUGGCGACCGGGUGAGUAACACGUGACUAACCUACCUUCAAGUGGGGGAUAACCUCGGGAAACCUGGGCUAAUACCGCAUAACAUCUUUGGAGUGGAAAUUCUGGAGAUCAAAGGAGCAAUUCGCUGGAAGAGGGGGUCGCGGCUGAUUAGCUAGUUGGCGGGUAAUGGCCCACCAAGGCUUUGAUCGGUA
rnacentral:rRNA from 1 species